GCUCCCAUGGCUCAGGGGUUAGAGCACGGCUCUUAUAAAGCCGGGGUCGAUGGUUCAAAUCCAUCUGGGAGCA
rfam:Parcubacteria (Falkowbacteria) bacterium GW2011_GWF2_39_8 TT64_C0061, whole genome shotgun sequence.